AGCCAACACCGCCGCUCCAUC
rnacentral:siRNA from 1 species